rnacentral:lncRNA from 1 species
UUACAUUCCACUGCUUCCAUUUUAAAAAUGCCUCUUUUUUCAAGCUGGCAUUGGGAUCUCAACCAACAGUUUCCUCCUUCUAUUCCAUGUCUUCACACUUUUUCUAGAUCAGAGGCCUAAGCCACUGACGUGACCUUCUGUCACCUGACCCUCAUCCACAUAGUGAUGCUCCUGGCUGUGGUUUCACUGUUGUCUCCAGGUCUGUUUGAGUCACUGUAGUUUCAGAAUGACUUCAAGUAUAAAGUAUCUUUUUCACCUGAAUAAGGUGGGACCUUGAGCAAUCUUCUGCAUUUCAGUAAAUACUGCUCGCUUUUCCCAUGAAGUCCACCAUCAGAGGUCAGAGGACUGUUUCUUAUUCUGUCAUUAUCCAGAUAUGUUUUUCUUGCAGGACCGAUGCUGCUUUCAAGUGCAUACAUGGUGGUUCUUUUGCUCAGCCAUCAGAAGAAAUCCUGGUACCUUCACAGCACCUGCCUCUCCCCAAGACCUUCCCCAGAGCAGAGUGCCACUCAGACCAUCCUGCUGCUAGUGAGUUUCUUUGUGGUCGUGUACUCGGUCGAUUUCAUCAUCUCAUUCUCCUCAGCCUCACUAUGGGCAUAUGACCCUGUUGUCCUGGGUGUCCAGAGGCUUGUGUGCACCGUAUAUGCCACUGUCAGUCCUUUGGUGUUCCUCAGAUCUGAUAAAAGAAUAAUCAAU